GAAGAAUGAGAGAGCUUAGGAGCAUGGAAAGAAAGAAGAAAAUCAUGUUCAUCCUUUGCAUUUUCGCAACCCUUGAUACAGCUCCACUAAAUCAGCUUGUUUAUUGGUGGAGAUAAACGCAUUUGAAGAUUGAUGAUUGAUGCUGAAAGUGAGUACAAGAGUGGUUACGGGUUUGGUGAACUUGAAGGUGUAGUUUGUGUCAAGAAGAUAGUCCAAUGGAAGCAAGAACAUGAUCUCAACCUCUAUUAAUCCAAGGUGCAGUUUAGUAGCUUUUGACAGAUAGCAGUUUCGGAUUGAUGGCUUGAAGUGGUGUUGGCUCGGAGACCUCGUCAGAUCUCAUUUUCCGCUGUGCAGAUCCAUGAAGACACAUGUUUUGUAAUUAUUAAUAUUAUUUCAUGUUGUAUUUAUAUGGAUCAUCUUGUAUCUUUAGCUUUUGUAUGUACUAAA